AUACAGAGGGUGCGAGCGUUAAUCGGAAUUACUGGGCGUAAAGCGCGCGUAGGCGGCUUAUUAAGUCAGAUGUGAAAUCCCCGGGCUCAACCUGGGAACUGCAUCUGAUACUGGUAAGCUAGAGUUUUGGAGAGGGAAGUAGAAUUUCAGGUGUAGCGGUGAAAUGCAUAGAGAUCUGAAGGAAUACCAGUGGCGAAGGCGACUUCCUGGCCAAAAACUGACGCUGAGGUGCGAAAGCGUGGGUAGCAAACGGUAUUAGAUACCCUAGUAGUCC
rnacentral:rRNA from 1 species